rnacentral:lncRNA from 1 species
GGCUUUGGGGAGUUCCCGUCAUGGUACAGUGGAAACGAAUCCCACUGGGAACCAUGAAGCCGUGGGUUCGAUCCCUGGCCUCCCUCAGUGGGUUGAGGAUCCGACAUUGCCGUGAGCUGUGGUGUGGGUGGCGGACACGGCUUGGAUCUGGUGUUGUUCUGCUGGCCUAGGCUACAGCCACAGCAAUGCCAGAUCAGAGCCAUGUCUGUGACCUACACCACAGCUCACAGCAACGCCAGAUCCUUGACGCACUGAGUGUGGCCAGGGAUCAAACCUGUUUCUAAUCGGAUCGAUUCCAUUGUGCCACAGUGGGAACUCCUCAUCACUAGUCUUAUAUCAGCUUGAUCAAAUCUGUGAUCAUAACUUCUUGUCUGCUUUCAAUGAGCAGCAUCUCUCCCUGGUUAGUCCCAUUCCCAUGCCCAUCCUAUUCCCCAGACUAGUUCCCUGGCCCACUCUUACCUGUGACCUGAGUUUUGCUUUACCUCUUGGAUAUUGAUAUUUAAACAAUUCUCAGUCCUAGUUGGGGAGAGGAAAGGAAGAAAAAGCCUGAUUGUGGAAUUAGCUUCCCAAGACCCAUCGUUGGAGAGCCAUCCUACUAGUUUUUUUUUUUCUUUCCCUCCGGGGCUAUUUUCAAGAUUCUAGCACUUCUAGCAUCGUUCCGGGCCAAGUGGCCAUGGGUCAUGGCACUUGCAACGUGACUGGAGUGUAUGCUAGAGGAUAAUAGGCUUUUAAUUGGUGCUCUUAAUAUAUUAAUAGAUGGGAGACAGGGGCAUGGACUAGGUGGCCUCUGAAAUGUUUUCCUUUCCAGAAUUUAAAGAUAUGACUGUUCUGCAGACUUGGAAAGCAAUACAUAGAAUGGCUAUAUUCAAACCACGCUGCCCAGUCUAUCAUAUUACACUUGCAUUUCUAUCUCUUUACUCUUGCUCUCGUUUCAUUUAUUUUCUUGUUUUUUACAUCUCCCCCAAAGCUCUUGUAUCAUGGAUACACGCUGCUCUCCCAUUAGAAUUCAAGGUUUCUUAAGGAUGGGGACCAUCUUUUAUCCAUUGAGGUAGCUCCAUGAUAAUAAUAAAAGCUGACAUUUAUCAAGCACUUACUUUGUGUCUGAGAUGGUGUUCUGCCCUUUACGUGUUUACGUCUUUGCAUGCUCACAGCUGCUCCAUGAGGGAGUACUAUUAUGACCCACAUUUUCUCAUUGAGGAGAAGGAUGUUGGGAGAUACUCGGAAACACGUGCAGGUUCGUGGGGCUGGAUGAGUGUCAGGGACGCUGAGUCAGUGUGCAGCACAGCCUUCCUGCAGCUGUCCCAGUGCCUGACACAGGAUGGUCUCAGUCAGGACAGGAAUUCUCAGCUGGAGAAGGAUCCAGCAUUAUCACUACUGUGGAUCAGGUCACUCCCGUGGCACAGGUUCUAUCUCCUGGCCCGGGACCUUCCAUAUGAUGCAGGUGCUGCAAAAAAAAAAAAAAAAAAAAAAAAAAAAAAAAAAAAAAAAAAAAAAAAAAAAAAAAAAAAA